rnacentral:rRNA from 1 species
CCUACGGGAGGCAGCAGUGGGGAAUAUUGGACAAUGGGGGCAACCCUGAUCCAGCCAUGCCGCGUGUGUGAAGAAGGCCCUCGGGUUGUAAAGCACUUUCAGUGAGGAAGAACGCCUGGUGGUUAAUACCCAUCAGGAAAGACAUCACUCACAGAAGAAGCACCGGCUAACUCCGUGCCAGCAGCCGCGGUAAUACGGAGGGUGCGAGCGUUAAUCGGAAUUACUGGGCGUAAAGCGCGCGUAGGUGGCUUGAUAAGCCGGUUGUGAAAGCCCCGGGCUCAACCUGGGAACGGCAUCCGGAACUGUCAAGCUAGAGUGCAGGAGAGGAAGGUAGAAGUCCCGGUGUAGCGGUGAAAUGCGUAGAGAUCGGGAGGAAUACCAGUGGCGAAGGCGGCCUUCUGGACUGACACUGACACUGAGGUGUGAAAGCGUGGGUAGCAAACAGGAUUAGAUACCCUUGUAGUC